ensembl:lncRNA
CUCUGAAUUACCUAGGUAGUAACAUCUGACCCCAUAUCCUGAUUGGUUUCACAGAUGCUUAACUCUCUACCAAAUAGAAGAAGUUAACUGCUUGUUGCCCCAUGAGUAGUAGCCCCCAGAGCUACUGGAGCUCUAGGGUUGAUAAUGUUAACCCCUGUUCCUCACCACCCUGGUUCUUCACCAUCAAUCAGAGAAUUGAGAGGAUCACACAUCCUUACUCCCCUCCCUUGCUUGGCCUUUAAAAAUGCUUUUCUGAAAUGCAUCAGAGAAUUUGGGUUUUCCGAGCACUAACUGCCCUGGACUAUUUGUCUGGUGACCUCAGUAAACUUGGUACUUUCCUUCAUCACAACCUGAUGUGAGUAAAUUGGCUUUAUUGCAUAUGGGUGAGCAGACUCAAGUAUGGUUUGGUAACAUUAUUAGUAAUUGAAUAAUAAAUGUAUUAACAGCUAAAGUUUUUUGGACACCUUUAACAAAAUCAUAAUUUCUCAGAACACUCCUGUCACCAUACAGAUCAUGAGUGAAAGAACUUAAUGUGCUGUGAUAAUUUGCAUGUAUGCUCUGUGGCUCAGUCAUGUCAGACUCUUUGCGACCUCAUGGACUGUAGCCCGCCAGGGUGCCCUGUCCAGAGAGUUUUCCAGGUGAGAAUACUGGGAUGGGUUGUCAUUUCCUACUCCAAGUGAUCUUCCCAUCCCAGAGAUGGAUCACACAUCUCCUGUGUCUCCUGUUAUGGCAGGCAGAUUCUUUAUCACCGAGCCACCUGGGAAUCCUGUAACAAUUUAAGCAAUAAUAAAUUACCAGGAAGCCCCUGAUUGUCCAAUGGUUGGGACUCUGUACUACCUUUACCGAAGGCCUCAGUUCAAUCUUUGAAGGAGGAACUAAGAUCCUUCAAGCCACACAGCACUGCCAAAAAUAAAUUAAUUAACCUUAGAAAGUUAAUGAGUUGCAACAAUUUAGUGGUUUCAAACCUACACUAAUGAUUAUUUUACAGUUCUGGAGGUCAGCAGUUCAAAAUGAAUCUUACUGAAUGAAGGUUAAGAUAUAUUAGUAGGGCUGAGUUCCUUUUGCAGGCUUUAGGAAGGAAUAUGUCUCCUUGUUUCUUAUAGCUUCUAGAGGUCACCUGCAUCCCUCAGCUCUGGCCUCUUGCUUCAUCUUCAAUGCCAUCAGCAGAGCAUCAUCAAAUCUCUCCAUGAUUAUGACACUGCUAUCUUCCUCUAAUAAGGAGCUGUGUGACUAAAUGUGACCAACCUAGGUAAUCCAGGAUAAUCUCCCCAUCUCAAGAUCCUUAAUUAAUUACAUCUUCAAAGAUUCUUUUUUUUUUUUUUCAUGUAAGGUAACAAAUCCACAUGUUUAGGGGCUUGGGACAUGGUAUCUUUGAUGACGGGCAUCCAUUGCUUUGUCUACCACAUAUGUGUAAAGUAAAACAUUUAACAAGCUAAAGAUUUGUUACUUACAUUGAGUUUAUUUUUCUCCAAAGACUGUUUUUUUCCUGUCUCUUACAUUGAGUAUAUUCCUCUUUCAUCAGCUACAUUAACCAUCCAUUCUGUUGUCAAAGUUAGAAAGGCCCAAGGGAAGCAGGGCAGAGGUAAACUGGGAGUAAAUUUUCAUGCUCUUUGUGCUCAGUCAUGUCCAACUCAUUGUGACCUCUGGACUAUUGCCCGCCAGGCUAAAAAUCCAUGGGAUUUUUCAGGCAAGAAUACUGGAGUGGGUUGCCAUGUCCUUCUCCAGGAGAUCUUCCCGACCCAGGGAUUGAACCCAGGUCUCCCGCAUUGUAGGCAGACGCUGUACCAUCUGAGCCACCAGGGAAGUCCACUGCUCUUAUGUAAUCACAUCUCACUGAUUAUUUUAUUUUUAUGUUACUCAUUUAGACAGUCACUUCUGUUGGGUUUGUUGACUUAAAAAAUAGUCACAGUCUAAAAGUUGAGAGUUAUGUUUUAGUUGGUGGGAAUUUUUAGGACUUCAAGCCCAGGAGACAGCAUUUCAAGUAACCCUGAGAGAACUGCUCUGAGGAGGUGAGGAGAAGGGCCAGGUUACAUAGAAGUUUUACAACAAAGGGCAGGUAGUCAGAACAUCCAAAGAUUAUUGUUAAUCAAAGAAAACAAGAUAUUCCAAGAUGAGGAGUUUGAUGUUUUUCUAUGUCUGGGAGGAUGCAAGAAUCUGGGCUCAACUGAAAUCAUUCCUUUCAAAUGUGUUUCAGUUCUCUGGGACCAAUAUUUUGUGUUUUAACAUCUUGAAGUUGUUGGAGUUCACCUUAGGAAGUGUGGCAGCAGCCUAAUGGCUGUUAGAGGGCAGGUAUUCUUCUCCUUCCUGAGUUCCCUUAGUGCUCACAGGCUCACAUUGGAUGGCUACGAUCACUGACAACUGUGACAUUCUUUUUUACUGAUCUGGCAGGAAAUCCUCCAUUUCUCAGGUGGUAAUGUGUAACUUGAAGAACUUUUUCUUACCUUUUCACACUCAAUUAGUUACUCACUUCCAUCUCCUAAAUGUAGGCCCAAUUAAAUUCUUUUGGAAAAUAAAAAAAGUGUUUAUCCUCAAUAAAAUUAAAAUAACUCUCCUUGUACUUUCUUCCCUCACACUGCAGCCCCCCACGAACCACGUAAAACAAUGUCACUUCAUCUUAUGUGUCAUGUCGGGUAUCAGGUAUAGGGUUUCAUAACAAAGUAAAUAAGACAAUAAGAUUUAGGAAUUAUAAAAUUCACAUAUUUAAUAAAGAGCCUUUGGGUUAUUUGGAAAGUUAUUUUCUCAUAUGUUUUCUUUCCUAAUGUGUGGUUGAGUUAUUUUUAAUUUUAGGGGGUUUCCUAACAGCCAGAUACAUUCUCUUCUCUUUUGCAGUUCCCUUCAGAUGAAAUAUUUCCUUCUUCAAACUCAAUUGCCUUGCCCUUUCAUAUAGCAAAUGUCUACUCAAGUUAUUGGUUUGGAAAUUUAUUUAACACUUCCUUGGAAGACUUUCCACUGAGUAGAUAUAUCUCAUUAAGUUCUCUCAUAAUAUACUUAUUCCACUGUCUUUUGCAAUUUGUCACAAUGAAUCAUUUAUACCCUGUUAACUUUGCAGUUUCCUAUUAAACUGCUCAGCGAGGCCUGGUGACUCAAAGGUAUUAUUUUCAAAAAUAUGUUCUAAAUGGCAAGUGAGUAACCAUACAAAUAUUCAAGUACUUAGUUUUCAGUUUCUUGUUCUCAGAAAGGAGAGAAGUUAAGCAAUGUGGAGCAGAGCUUUCAUGAUAAAGGUGCUCUGUGUCUAAUUCAGAAAUCCCAUGACCUGGUUUAGUCACUGACCUUUUACUGCCUUAAUGGAAUUUCCAAAACAGACCAUUUACUCUGUUGCUGUCAACUUACAACAAAUUUACUUGGUUUCUCACUCAAGGAGCUCAUCUUCAAUGUAGUUGAACCAAUUAUAUGAGAUACAUUUAAAUCUUUUAUCAAUGUUUCUGGCUCAUGGUAAAUGAUGAUAAACUGUAGCUUUAUGUUACCAUGUCAUGAUAAUAAUGGUAAAAGUAAUGUUAUUAGUUCUGUCAAUUAUUUGGGAAUUCCAAGAAUAUGAAAUUUACUAGGGUUUGUUCCAUUUCUCUUUGACAGCAAAAUGAUGAAAUAUGUAAAAAGGAUAAACUUGAAAGCUCAUAAGUACUUCUGUUUAUAAUAAACAAGCUGAGAGAGGCCAAGCUGAUGCUGCGAAGAAUUAGAGGAGCCAGAUUCAAACAAACAAGUUUUUAAAAAGGCAUUGGAAAAUUUCCAAGUGGUGAAAGAAAACAACAGGGUUCUAUCCCUGGGUCAGGAAGAUACCUUGGAGAAGAAAAUGGCAACCCAUUCCAGUAUUCUUGCCUGGGAAAUUCCAUGGACAGAGGAAACUUGUGGGCUAUUGUCCAUGGGGUCACAAAGAGAGUCAGACACUAGUUAGUGACUAAAUAAAAGCAACAAACAACAACAAAAUAAGAUAAUAAAACAUGGUACUUGGAAAACUGUAAGACACUGAUGAAAGAAAGUGAAGAUGACUGAAACAGAUGGAAAGAUAUACUAUGUGUAUGAAUGAAAACAAUUAGUAUUGUUAAAAUGACCAAACUACCCAAGAAGAUCUACACAUUCAAUGCAAUAUCUAUCAAAAUAUGAACGGCAUUUUUUCACACAGAACUAGAAUAGAUAGUUCUAACAUUUGUUCAGAAGCACGAAGCCACCUGCUAAAUAGUAAAAACAAUUUUGAGCAAGAACAAGAGUAUCACACUCUGUUUUCAAACUGUACUGCAAAGCUAUAGUAAUCAAAACAGUAUGUCAGUGGCACAAAAACAGACACAUAGAUCAGUUAAAUAGAGUAAGAUCACAGUAAUUAAUCCAUACUUAUAUGGACAAUUAAUCUAUGACAAAUGAGGCUAGGAUAUACC